UUAGGGGAGGACAGUAUAUUUCACAUAAUUCAAAUCAAAACAUGUAUAUAAAUAAAACGAAUGUCUACACCAGAUAAGCACCUGAAUGACAUGUUAUUCUCCCUACAUGUAUAACUAGCACUUCAUUGUCAUAAGCGGCUCUUGACCUUCCAGUUAUCCAGUUUAUAUAAACAAAAGUUACUUCACUAGUUCCAAAUGUCUUCAGUUUGUAAACCAUAGUAAAACCAAAGAGAGGCUAGUUGAUUUCCGCAGGAACAAAUGUGUUGAGCCUCUCUCUCGCAACGGCGAGGCCAUUCAGCAGCUCAACUACUUUCAGUUUCUGGGUUCCAUCAUCUCCAAUGAUCUGAGUUGGAAAGUCAGUGUGGUUUUCACUGUCAAGAAGGCCCUGUAACAUCUUUACUUUCUCCACCAGCUGAAGAAAUUUGGCAUAAGAUGGAACAUUCUGGUCCAGUUUUACCGGAUGUCACCGAGAGUGUACUGACAUUCUCUGUCACCGUCUGGUGCGGCAGUCCCACCCGCAAACAGAAAGUGCUACUCCACCGGGUGGUGCGUGCAGCGAGCUGAUAUACUGACUGUGACCUGUGGGGUCAAUCUACACCCAGUGCACUCUGUGCAGGGUGAGCAAGAUUGUGGCGGGUGCAUUCCACCCGGCCAAUACCCUGCUCUGUCUCAUGCCCUCUGGGGUCAGGUAUAGACGCGUCCGGACCAGAACUUCCCGGUUGAUAUACAGGUUGUUUGUGAAGCUAUCGCCUCCCUGAACUCCGCCAUAGCUCGUGGCAGGACUAAUACUUGAUGGAUGCGUCCUUUCACAGUCCACGAGGCAGUGUUCAUGUAUGCAGAAAGGCAGUGUGGAUGAGAAAAGGUUCACAAUCGCUUCAGCUGUUAUCAGCAGGCAGCAGGUGAGCAUACACGAGAUUUGUUUCGGCCGGCGACAGCAGAGGGUGCCUGAUAAAGCUGUUUGGGUGAGUCUGAGUUUUACACACCAGCACUGUCUGCACACAAUUCAAAACAGAUGUUUAAAUCAUUCAACAGGCGCCUUCCUUCCUGCCUGUCAGAUGAUAUAUUGAAGUGCAGUUUCAUGAGCUUGUAAGAUUUUUUAACAUGCACUAAUGUUCCUUCAAACAUUUUCUAAUCGUUUCAAACAGAAAUGCCUUUGUACCUUUCGUGUAAUAACCUGUAAUGUAUCUGUAAUCGUGUAAUUUCCUCUAGGAAAGUGCCUCCUAAUAAAUCACAAAGCUUCUGUAAGAUAUUUUCAGUUUUGAAUAUUGUUCCUCUAUUUCGUUUCAGUGAAUUCACGAUACAAAUUUGUGUAGACGCAAACAAGCUAAAUAAAACAAAUAUCAAAAAUAACUACCGAUGCAUAUUUUCGUUUUUCAUCCCUCUAUUAAGGAUUAUAGGGUUCUGGGUUCAGAUCUCGGCGUGGAGUACACGAUUCUAUCUGGAUAUGAACAUGCUCACAGUGUACUCUUGUUGUCCCACCUUUCAUUAUCUCUUCCUCUUAUAGCAAGAAAUUACCACUACAUGGUAGAACUUUUCUGUUUAAAUAACAAACCAAAACAACUUAUGAACUUUUUUACAUUGCAGUUUUAAUACAAGAUGCUGAUGUCGAAAAUAGUAACAAGCAAUAUAGCUGCUUUUCUCCAAAAUGUGUUUAUUCAGUUAUUGAUAACUGAACUUUUGACAUGUUCACUUCUUUUACUUUACCCGCUGUCAGUAUUGAAUCAUUACUUCCCAGAUAGUAUUUUCACUGCACGAUAUGUUGUUAUCAUUUUCUAACCUCCAUCUUGAAGUAUUUUAUCGUCUUGAGACCUGGAUAUGUUAUCUCGAGACUGCGACACACUGUGGCAAUGACUUCAGACAAAAAAUACCCACAGAAGCUACACCCGCGAACAUGUGGCUUUUCGCGUUGAACAUUUUUGGAUUUUAUCUUUCGACAGUAAAGUCUGAGAAACGAUUGUUUAUAACCCACUUCCAUUUAAAAAUAUGGGUAGAUAAACAACCCCACCCCAAAUCGCCAAUGAAAUUUGACAAAUUCAAAAAUGUGUGUGUGGCCGCCAUUUUCUGCUUUGCACUGACUGGAGUCGCUUGUUAAAUGGCGAUGAAAAUUUUCAAGAAGUUUCGAUGGACCUGCAUUGUGUUCAUGACAAUUCUUGGACUAGUGUCUGUCGUUUAUUUCUGUUCACCCUUCCACAACAUGACGGACUCCUCUACUUUGGAAAAAAACAAUGUGGACAUUUGCUUUGCAUGGAGAAGGGCAGACAAACGAGCCUUGUGGACUGUACCAUGGUGGGGGCGUGCCUGUGAUAUGGAAAGUGACUGGUCAGAGAAGAUAUCAA